AACAAUUGAAUGCUCCGAAGCUGGUUUUCCUAAGGCAAGGCUAUGGCGACCAGACAAGUGUCUUAGACACUCGGGUAUUGCGGGAAACUGUAAUAUCUCCUAUUGGAAAGGAGUCUGUUGAACAGGAGG
rnacentral:ncRNA from 2 species